rnacentral:lncRNA from 1 species
GAAAGCCACCAAGCAACCGAAUAACAACCUGGAACCUCAACUUUUCUGUAUUCCUCUGAUUGCCGAAGUAAAGGCAGACACCCGACGCGAGCUUCUGAAAGCAACAGGCUGUGAACCUCGACUACUCUCACGUCUUACUCCCGUAUUAAGAACCCAAUCCGGGCCCCGCCCGCUCUCUCCUGCUUCCUCCGCCCACUGUCUCCCACCUGCUGGGCCCUGAAUGGCUCAGGUCUACACUUAGGAUAGUGUGUCCAGGGUCCCACCCUCAGCACCCGGUUCUGCUGGGGGACUGCUCUCAAAGAGCCCUAGGCCAGACAAGCGUGUGCCUCUUUGUCACUCUGGCACCUGGCGCGCAGGAGCCUCGGGAGCGGAAGCUUUAUGAAUGAACUACCGUUAGGGAGGGGAGGGCUCCCGCAGGGGCGGGGCUUGCCCAAAGCAGUUAUUGAAGGCGCAGGAUCCCAGGGAAGGAAUGAAGAGCAGGAGGAGGAGGAAGAGGAGGGUGUUUUAGGCCAGGAGAACUAUGGGGUUUCUGUCGCUUCCACUCUUUCAGAUUUGCUGGCUCUUUCCUUCGAAGCCCGGGACAGCAGGCGAGCAGAUCCUCACCUUCCAGCUCGGUCUCUCUGGUGUUUUGGCAGAGGCGGCUCCAAUGCAUGGGCCAGACUCGGUCCCUGGCCAGGCCAACCCUGUCUCGGGAUCCUCUAGAAUGCAUCAGCUGGGCUUGGGAGCGAAGGGAGACGCCUGGAAGAGAAUUGUAUUGCUUCAUCCCCGAGGGCACCUAUGAGGACGCGGCUCUGGGAGCAGGGAUCUGGGCCCGGACGCGGGAAGAGGAGAACAGGGAGCAGGACCCAGGCGCGGGCUGGGGAUCAGAGCGCGGGAAGUGGGGAGCGGGUUCCGGGUUCAGACAGCGGGGCAUGGGAAGCCGGGCCACAGUAUACUCACCGCUGCGCAGCGUCCCGGUUGGCGGGCCGCGUAGGCCGGGCCGCCGCGGAAAGGAAAGGCCGGAGCCCUCCGGCUCCCUCCCCUGGGACACUUCCUGCACCGCUCUAGGACCGAGGAGGUCUCCUCAUCUCAGUGGUUCGCUUCCCCGCCUCCUGGCCGAGGUGUACGCGGGGGGGUGACAUCCGACACCCCCGGCCCGCCUGGACCGCCCCGCCCCGCCCCGCUCCGUGCUCUCCCGGCCUGGGCCCGGGGCCCGGGCUUUAGCUUUGUGGGCCUUCCUAGCGGGCUCGGGAUGCGCGCGCGCGCCCCGGCGGGACCCGGGCGCUGGGGGCCAGUUCGCGCGGCCACCAGCCAGGGAGGCCGGCUUGGGGCUUUGCUCUUCUCUGCUCCUCUUGUGUGGGCGCAGGGAAGGGCUGGUCUGGCGGCGCUGGCGAAAUGCCAGAAUUGGGAGGAGGAGGGAUGAGGUGUAAGGGGAUCUCCCAGUGACCAUUUGCAUCCCGUGUGUGCUGUUGUGCCCCAAUCCCUUCCAGCCGCAAUUCCAUUUCAAAGCCAACGCUGCCAGAGCCACCCAAAUCGGUAGGACUGGAGAAAUGCAGACCCAGCGAUCCACGGUGCUCGCCGAAGCAGCGGCCCGCGGCUUCGUGGCAUGGAGAUGAUCUACGAUUUCUCUGUUUAAGGAAGACUGUAGCACUCUGGGUCCCUCUGAGCACCAGGAUAGUCCUGGUACAUGGUAGGAAGUCACCCUUAAAGAAGGUGGUUUGAUAGAGACACCCCACCACCGGCAGACUUCGUGCUUCCGUUUCCUUCUAAUAAUUGGGACUGGGACAAUCUCUUCCGACUAGUAGAACCUGGAAUAGGGACUAAUAGACUGGAAUCGGAGCACCUGUGUUAAAUCACACCCAUCAAGGCGCAGUCAGGUGAUCUAAGGCCUGCGUGACCUCUCUGUGCUUCAGGGAUCGCAUUUGGAUGCAUGUGCAAGCUGUGCUGUAGCCACCUCAGGUCCUGAAUCUUUAGGACUUGCUGGAGCUCAUUGCUGAUCUAUUUUGGCAGCACGAGUGGUGAUGCACACCUGUAAUCUCCGCACUCCGGGACUGGGGGCUGGAGGAUCAGGUCAUGGUCUCCUAUAUAGUGAGCGAGUUUGGGGUCAGCUUGAAUGAUGAGAUACCCAGUCUGAAAAUAAAGAUGCAAAUUGAUGAGCUGUGGAGCGACACCCGCAUGCAGUUGAGUCAUCACGCAUAUACCUACCUCCCCACAUCCUUCAUGGCCCCCAGGAAGCUCCAGCUGGCUUACAGACUGACUUGUUUUGAGAUAGGGUCUCACUGUGUAGCCCUGACUGGCCUGGAACCCACCGAUCUGCUUGCUUCUGCCUCCUGAGCUGCGUGAUUAAAAGCAUGUGCCACCACACCUGGCUCUAUUGCAUUUAUUUAUGUAUGCGGUGGGAGUGGGUACGCACACACACUUUAGAGGUCAGAGAACAGCUUACCGCGAUCAGCUCUCUCUGUCCACCCUGGGGAUUGAACUCAGGUCGCCUGGCUUGCUAGCCAGUGUCUUUGCCACAGAGCCAUCUCAGCAGGUCAGUUUACUCUUUUAACCUGGGAGAGAACAUGCGGUGGGCCUUUGUCCUUCUGUGUUACUAUUUCAUUUAACUUGAUGUCUAUCCCUUUGGCUAUAAGUGAAGAAUUUCCUUACGGAUGCCUGAAUAAAACUCCAUUUUGUAUAUACACUGUGUUUUCUCAAUACAUUCAGCUUUAGAUGGCUCAUAAGCUGACUCCACAUCUUAACCAGAGUAAACAUGGAAGAUGGGAACCUCUGCUCUCUCUCAGAUGCUACUGAUGGCAUUCUUAGCUUUUAGGUUGCUGGAAGUGAGUGGUCUGUUACUACCUCCUGAAAGAUCCCAUGUGAUGCUAGGUCAGACACUGAGGUGGCCAGGGAGUGCCUGUUAGAGACAGCCUGAGAUUGGCUCUGGAUCUGUAACAUUCCAACUCUGCACAGCAAUCCUGGGAGUUUGAAAGGAGUCUGCAUUGUUGAAUCUUCAAAGCAGGUGUGGCCUCCUGCCCCCCCCCCUUUCUAGUUUUACUCCAUGGUGUGGGGGAGGUAAGAGUUUGUUGACGGCUCAUUGUUGGGAGCACAAAAGCACAGAGAGAGCCAGGUUGUUAAUCACACAGGGCUAUUUCCUCAGUGGAGGAGAUAAAGCCAAAUAUCUGCAUUCCAUCCUGAAAUCUGAGAGUGCAUUUUGUGGGCAACCUGGUGGACCUUUUGCUAUCUGUGGAGGCUGACCUCAACCAAAUUCCCCAGAGUGAUUAUCCCAGACUCUUCCUUCCCUAGACCUUAGGGGAGAUGUUGCAGUACUUUAUGGCCUGCUGACCUCUAAGCUAUCGGUCAGAGACCACAUUAGGUUCUAGGCCUUUUCCCUAUAGAACCCACUCACAUGGCCACAAGUACUUUGUAAAAGAGUUUCUGGGCUGGUGAGAUGGCUCAGUGGGUAAGAGCACCCAACUGCUCUUCUGAAGGUCCAGAGUUCAAAUCUCAACAACCACAUGGUGGCUCACAACCAUCUGUAACAAGAUCUGUCUCCCUCUUCUGGUGUGU